rnacentral:rRNA from 1 species
GACGAACGCUGGCGGCGUGCUUAACACAUGCAAGUCGAACGGAAAGGCCUCUUUCGGGGGGUACUCGAGUGGCGAACGGGUGAGUAACACGUGAGUAACCUGCCCUUGACUUUGGGAUAACUUCAGGAAACUGGGGCUAAUACCGGAUAGGAGCUCCUGCUGCAUGGUGGGGGUUGGAAAGUUUCGGCGGUUGGGGAUGGAUUCGCGGCUUAUCAGCUUGUUGGUGGGGUAGUGGCUUACCAAGGCUUUGACGGGUAGCCGGCUGGGGAGGGUGACCGGCACAAUGGGGAUGGAGAUACGGCCCAGCCCCUACGGGGAGGAAGCAGGGGGGAAAAUUGACAAAGGGGUGGAAGCCGGAGCAGGAACGGCGGGUGCGGGAUGACGGCCUUCGGGUUGUAAACCGCUUUCGCUCAUGACGAAGCUUUGUGUGACGGUAGUGGGUAAAGAAGCACCGGCUAACUACGUG